AUUGAACGCUGGCGGCAUGCUUUACACAUGCAAGUCGAACGGCAGUACGAAGAAGCUUGCGUCUUUGGUGGCGAGUGGCGAACGGGUGAGUAAUACAUCGGAACGUACCGUUUAGUGGGGGGCACCUGUGAGAAAUGGAAGCUAAUACCGCAUACGAACUAAGGUUGAAAGCAGGGGAACUUCGGGCCUUGUGCUAAACGAGCGGACGGUGGAAGAUUAGCUAGUUGGGGGGGGUAAAGGCUCACCAGGGCGACGAUCUUUACCGGGUUUGAGAGGACGAUCCGCCACACUGGAACUGAGACACGGUCCAGACUCCUACGAGAGGCAGCAGUGAGGAAUUUUUGACAAUGGGGGCAACCCUGAUCCAGCAAUGCCGCGUGAGUGAAGAAGGCCUUCGGAUUGUAAAGCUCCUUUGUUAGGGAAGAAAAGGUAUCCAAUAAUACUGGAUGCUGAUGACGGUACCCAAAGAAUAAGCACCGGCUAACUACGUGCCAGCCGCCGCUGUAA
rnacentral:rRNA from 1 species